UGGUGGGUAGCUCAGUUUGGUAGAGCAGUGGACUGGUGAAAGCCAGUAUCCCUGAAUCAACAACUUGUCUGAAAAGACCGAAGUAUUUAGGGUUAUCGUGGUUCCAUGUGUCACAGGUUCAAAUCCUGUCCCACCAC
rnacentral:tRNA from 1 species